AUACCGGUGCCUUGUAACAGAGGAGAAUAGGGAAGCAGGUGUGAAUCCUGCACGAACUCGUCACUGUGAAUGGAGAUUUCUUAGCAUAUGUCACUGUAUAAACGGGAAGACGCUUAGAAGCAUUAUCCUAAGUCAGGAGACCUGCCGGUAUG
rnacentral:ncRNA from 1 species